rnacentral:lncRNA from 1 species
AUAUUUUCUGGCUUGAACUAUAAGACACAUGACACAUUAUUUUUUUGAAAGAUAGAUAGUAUGCGGGUACUAUGAGACGCGUGACACUUUAUUUUUUCAGAGAUAGAUAGCAUGCUAUCUGUUUCGUUUAUUUUAUUUAGAAAUAAACUUAGCUGGAAAUAUAAAUCAAAUAGGAUUCGAACUUUGGACCUCGAAUAUCAAUCACCAAACCCUUUACUACUUGCGCUAGUGACGGUCAGUAACGCGUGACACUUUAGUUCUCGAACUUUAUAUAAUUAGAUGCAAAUUCUGGCUCAAACUAUAAGGCAUGUGACAUUUCAGUCCUCCAAUUUCCUGGAUUGUUGCAAUUAAGUAACACAACCUAUUUUUUUGAAUGAGUAUUGAUGAAUUAUUAAUAUCGGAGUAAUAUAGUAUUUUAAUUAUUGUUGCAUUGUUAACUACGAUAUUAUUAUAAGUCAAAAAAGUUUGAGGGCUAAGAUGCCACGUAUAUCAUAUUUCGGGCCAGAAAUUAUAACUAGUUAGUGUUCAAAUAAUAAAGUGUCACACACCUCAUAGUUCGAGAUAAAAAUUACAACGAAUUAAAGUUCGAGGGCUAAUGUGUCACACGCCUCAU